UGAAGAGAUUUAUUUAUUUAUUUGUUUGUUUGUUUUUUUCUCUAGAUUUUGAAUCACUUUCAAGCUUCCCAGAUGAUUAAAAUCAUCAAAUACCACAGUGUGACUAACUACAAAAGUAUAAUGAAAAUGAAAAAGUUAAAAGAAUUGGCAAUAUUUGAACAGGAAUAACUGUUAACCAUUGAACUUCAAACUGUUAUGGUGGUUAUUUGUAAUUAUAGCUUAAAAUUUUAAGUUAGAGUAAUCAAGCAAUGAAAGACUUUAUUUUAGAGUUAAUAUUUUUACUGCCACUUGUAGGAGUGAUUUAUUCUGAACAUUUUCCAAGAAUAGGUGAGAAUAAUUGUACUUAACAAACUUAUUGUAUAUUAAAUGUAAAGAAAAUUAAUCAUGAGAAUUGUUAUUAUUAUUAUUUAUUUCUCAAGGACAAAGCCUCUUGAUGGGGAAAAUACAAAACUACAAAACAUUAAUUACAUAGUCAGCAAAC